CCUACGGGGUGCUGCAGUGGGGAAUAUUGGGCAAUGGACGCAAGUCUGACCCAGCAACGCCGCGUGAAGGAAGACGGCUUUCGGGUUGUAAACUUCCUUUAAGGGGGAAGAGCAGAAGGCGGUACCACUUGAAUAAGCCACGGCUAACUACGUGACAGCAGCCGCGGUAAUACGUAGGUGGCAAGCGUUGUCCGGAUUGACUGGGUGUAAAGGGCGUGCAGCCGGAGAGACAAGUCAAUUGGUAAAUCCACGGGCUCAACCCGUGAACUGCAUUUGAACCUGGUUGCCUUGAGUGUCGGAGAGGUAAUCGGAAGUCGUAGUGUAGCGGUGAAAUGCGUAGAUAGUAGGAAGAACA
rnacentral:rRNA from 1 species